rnacentral:rRNA from 1 species
GACGAACGCUGGCGGCGUGCCUAAUACAUGCAAGUUGAGCGCUGAAGGUUGGUACUUGUACCAACUGGAUGAGCAGCGAACGGGUGAGUAACGCGUGGGGAAUCUGCCUUUGAGCGGGGGACAACAUUUGGAAACGAAUGCUAAUACCGCAUAAAAACUUUAAACACAAGUUUUAAGUUUGAAAGAUGCAAUUGCAUCACUCAAAGAUGAUCCCGCGUUGUAUUAGCUAGUUGGUGAGGUAAAGGCUCACCAAGGCGAUGAUACAUAGCCGACCUGAGAGGGUGAUAGGCCACAUUGGGAAUGAGACACGGCCCAAACCCCUACGGGAGGCAGCAGUAGGGAAUCUUCGGCAAUAGACGAAAGUCUGACCGAGCAACGCCGCGGGAGGGAAGAAGGUUUUUCGAUCGUAAAACUCUGUUGGUAGAGAAGAACGUGGGUAGGAGUGGAAAGCUCAUCAAGUGACGGUAACUACCCAGGAAGGGACGGCUAACUACGUG